rnacentral:rRNA from 1 species
UAGCUAGUUGGUGAGGUAAAGGCUUACCAAGGCGACGAUCUGUAGCGGGUCUGAGAGGAUGAUCCGCCACACUGGAACUGAGACACGGUCCAGACUCCUACGGGAGGCAGCAGUGGGGAAUUUUGGACAAUGGGGGCAUCCCUGAUCCAGCCAUGCCGCGUGAGUGAAGAAGGCCUUCGGGUUGUAAAGCUCUUUCGGCCGGGAAGAAAUCGCAUGGGCCAAUACCCUGUGUGGAUGACGGUACCGGAAUAAGAAGCACCGGCUAACUACGUGCCAGCAGCCGCGGUAAUACGUAGGGUGCGAGCGUUAAUCGGAAUUACUGGGCGUAAAGCGUGCGCAGGCGGUUUUGUAAGACAGGCGUGAAAUCCCCGGGCUUAACCUGGGAACUGCGUUUGUGACUGCAAGGCUAGAGUACGGCAGAGGGGGGUGGAAUUCCACGUGUAGCAGUGAAAUGCGUAGAGAUGUGGAGGAACACCAAUGGCGAAGGCAGCCCCCUGGGUCGAUACUGACGCCCAUGCACGAAAGCGUGGGUAGCAAACAGGAUUAGAUACCCUGGUAGUCCACGCCCUAAACUAUGUCAACUAGGUGUUGGGUGGGUAAAACCAUUUAGUACCGUAGCUAACGCGUGAAGUUGACCGCCUGGGGAGUACGGCCGCAAGGUUAAAACUCAAAGGAAUUGACGGGGACCCGCACAAGCGGUGGAUGAUGUGGAUUAAUUCGAUGCAACGCGAAAAACCUUACCUACCCUUGACAUGCCAGGAACUUGCCAGAGAUGGCUUGGUGCCCGAAAGGGAGCCUGGACACAGGUGCUGCAUGGCUGUCGUCAGCUCGUGUCGUGAGAUGUUGGGUUAAGUCCCGCAACGAGCGCAACCCUUGUCGUUAAUUGCCAUCAUUUAGUUGGGCACUUUAACGAGACUGCCGGUGACAAACCGGAGGAAGGUGGGGAUGACGUCAAGUCCUCAUGGCCCUUAUGGGUAGGGCUUCACACGUCAUACAAUGGUCGGUACAAAGGGUUGCCAAGCCGCGAGGCGGAGCCAAUCCCAGAAAGCCGAUCGUAGUCCGGAUUGCAGGCUGCAACUCGCCUGCAUGAAGUCGGAAUCGCUAGUAAUCGUGGAUCAGCAUGUCACGGUGAAUACGUUCCCGGGUCUUGUACACACCGCCCGUCACACCAUGGGAGCGGGUUCCGCCAGAAGUAGGUAGCCUAACCGCAAGGGGGGCGCUUACCACGGCGGGGUUCGUGACUGGGGUGAAGUCGUAACAAGGUAGCCGUAGGGGAACCUGCGGCUG